CAGGGACGUGGUGCAGUCACCGUCCCUGGAGGUGUUCAGAACUGUGUGGUUGUGGCACUGAGGCGGUGACAACAUACAGCUUCAGUUCCAGAACUUCCUUGCUUUGGAGGCUGCACUGCUCCCAGGAACUGCAUCAGGCUGUUAGCACAGAACUGGGAGGGUGCUAAAGAUGAUGGCCUAUAGAGCCUGACUGCUGCACAUUGAUACAUCAGCCAAGAUGUCACUGCCCUGUGCAAGUCUGUGCUGAAUGUGCUGAUGGACAUGUCCAGAUGAAAGACAGACAAAAUAUUCAACAAUCUAUUAAGUCUACUAUGUAUCCUGCUCACUGCUUUCUUCACAUUUUAACCCAUCAUUAUACAUCUUUGAGGGCCUUCCAACAUCUUUGCAUAUAUGCCCCAUGUCAUGAGUGUUCAAGACAGUUACUAGCAUCUCCUCUCUGCAUUUUUGCAUGCUCUCACAAGCACAGCACACACAUCCAGCAAGAUGGGCCGGCAAAGCUGCACAAUAUGCUGUUCUGCAGUAGCUUCAACCUAUGAGGCCUUUAAGGAGGAAACUGCUCCAGGUAACACCAGAGAUAACUUUCAAUAAGUAUUCAGUUUUAAACCAGAAAUGCUGGUCUAAGGUGUGUUGCCAUAGAUUAUAGCACAAUUAUGACAUACAUGUAUUUUUUUUUUAUUCUUUCCACUAAUCAGUAUAUGGUGCCUUUUGAAAUUGAAUGUUAUUUUCCUUUGUUGUGCCAGUUUUGAUCUUCCCAGCAGUUCUGAGCAGGGUUACAGAAUAUAAUUUUUGUUUUGUUCAUAAGGAAAACAACAUUUUCAUUAAAAAAAUUAUGCUCAUUUA